rnacentral:misc_RNA from 1 species
UGAAUCAUCAAUCCUCGAGGUUUCUCUUGGAUUGGAGUUGGGCGUUGCCGAUCGGCUCGCCUUAAAGAUGUUAGCAGACACGAUGGUGAUGUCGACGUGAUACGUUUCGUCGGACCAGCCAUACGCCCGCUCAUAACCCCACGGCUUCGGCCCACUUUAACUCUGACCUCAAAUCAGGUAGGACUACCCGCUGAACUUAA